rnacentral:rRNA from 1 species
CCUACGGGAGGCAGCAGUGGGGAAUAUUGCGCAAUGGGCGAAAGCCUGACGCAGCGACGCCGCGUGAGGGAUGAAGGUCUUCGGAUCGUAAACCUCUGUCAGCAGGGAAGCACGGUCACUGUGCUAAUCAGCAGUGAAUUGACGGUACCUGCAAAGGAAGCACCGGCUAACUCCGUGCCAGCAGCCGCGGUAAUACGUAGGGUGCGAGCGUUAAUCGGAUUUACUGGGCGUAAAGCGCUCCGAGGCGGUAUGUCAAGUCAAGGGUGAAAUCCCCGGGCUCAACGUGGGAACUGCCUUUGAAACUGGCAAACUGGAGUGUGUGAGAGGAUAGUGGAAUUCCAGGUGUAGGAGUGAAAUGCGUAGAUAUCGGGCGGAACAUCAGUGGCGAAGGCGACUAACUGGCACAUGACUGACGCUGAAGAGCGAAAGCGUGGGUAGCAAACAGGAUUAGAUACCCCAGUAGUC